rnacentral:rRNA from 1 species
AGGAAAAAGAAAAAAAUGAACGGUCUCGUUUGGAAUUUUAGAGGAGCAGGUAAAAGAGGGAGGACUACCUGCUUCUCUGACAUCAUUAGAGACCACUCCCUCGACUUUAUGGGCAUCCUAGAAACGAAGAAGGAUAAGUUUGCACCUAGAUACCUUAGGAAGAUCGACCCCUUUGAGAGGUUUAAUUGGAACUGGAUCCCUUCCACUGGUAAGUCUGGUGGUACCCUAUGUGGGAUCAAAAAAGAAACCUUAGAAAUUGUGUCUUGGGCGGCAGGUAAGUAUCUGCUGUAG